CUGAGCGUUUAUAACCUGUAUAUAGUGACUGAGCGUUUAUAAUCUGUAUACAGUGACUGAGCGUUUAUAAUCUGUAUAUAGUGACUUUAUAAUCUGUAUAUAAUGACUUUAUAAUCUGUAUAUAGUGACUUUAUAAUCUGUAUACAGUGACUGUUUAUAAUCUGUAUAUAGUGACUGAGCAUUUGUAACCUGUAUAUAGUGACUGUUUAUAAUCUGUAUAUAUAGUGACUGUUUAGAAUCUGUAUACAGUGACUGAGCGUUUAUAAUCUGUAUAUAAUGACUUUAUAAUCUGUAUAUAGUGACUUUAUAAUCUGUAUACAGUGACUGAGCGUUUAUAACCUGUAUAUAGUGACUGUUUAUAAUCUGUAUACAGUGACUGAGCGUUUAUAACCUGUAUAUAGUGACUGAGCGUUUAUAAUCUGUAUACAGUGACUGAGCGUUUAUAAUCUGUAUAUAAUGACUUUAUAAUCUGUAUAUAGUGACUUUAUAAUCUGUAUACAGUGACUGUUUAUAAUCUGUAUAUAGUGACUGAGCAUUUAUAACCUGUAUAUAGUGACUGUUUAUAAUCUGUAUAUAUAGUGACUGUUUAGAAUCUGUAUACAGUGACUGAGCGUUUGUAAUCUGUAUAUAGUGACUGAGUGUUUAUAACCUGUAUACAGUGACUGAGCGUUUGUAAUCUGUAUAUAGUGACUGAGUGUUUAUAACCUGUAUACAGUGACUGAGCGUUUGUAAUCUGUAUAUAGUGACUGUUUAUAAUCUGUAUAUAUAGUGACUGUUUAUUAUCUGUAUAUAUAUAUAUAUAUAGUGACUGUUUAUAAUCUGUAUAUAUAGUGACUGUACACUAUUUGUGGCAGAAUCCUUUUAAAGGGUGUUUGGGUGUGUUUCCAAUUAAACUGUUUUUAUAGGACAAAACUAGAUUUAUAGAAUUGAAGAUUCCCAUUAAAUAUUCCUUUCCAGGCUCACCUGAGCUCCUUGUAUCCUCGUCCAUUGAAAAUCCUAAUUCUUCUGACAUUCAGUGCUAUUUCUAAUGUGAAACUAAUGAUGGACUGAUGGAGAGAUUGAAGUAAAACAUAUUGUUUCUGUGAUAUCAGUCUGAGGAAGUGUGAAUUUAUUUGUGUUAUUGUUGUGUUUACCACAAUAAUGGGAGCUGCGAGGCCACACAAUCUGUGACUGCAGACUCUCCUCCCAUUCAUCCAGUCCUGGUACAGAGCCGGGAAGGUCAAGGAAUUUAUAAUGUUAAUUUUAGCUUUAUUUCUUUUGUAAUCGCGUAUUGUAUGCAGCAUUCGUCUGGUUGUUCGGUUAAAACACUCUGUUCAACAUACGAACAAACAGACCUCCCCAGAGUGAAUUGUGCCUCUCAUUUACCUCCCGCAUCUAAGUUCCAACCACAUAAGUGGUAAUUCAACUAAAUGUAUUAUGUGUUCCCUGGGUGGCCGCCAUUCAGCAUACGAACACGUGGCAGCGGCCAUCUUAACAUACGAAUGCUCAGCGGUGUUUGGUCUUUGUGUGUCUGAAACCCAAAUCGGACACUCAACUACGCGAACACCGCCGAGACUUCCCACGAACAAGGGGAUCCAUAUGAAUCCAACCCCAGUCUAUGUAACCCGGUACGUUCGUGUGUUUUAUCCCUCUGAGACCGGCCGCAAGGCCAGAAUGUAUGGAGCUGAUUUCGGCUACUACCUCCUGUACGGUCGGUCAAAUAAAUACAUCCGUGUAACUCCCAAACCCCUGGUACGAUCUGGGUGAUUUUUGAGUAUGUUGCUCACCCAUAGCACGGAUACCAGGGGAUAUAAGAUUAUGGGGUGUAUCUCUGGUAUUAGGGGUACAUCCAGAAAGCGGGGAGAAAUGUGUCCUGUAUAAUGGGAUUAUGUGUCAUGCUGAGGGGAGGAGAUGUGUGGGAGGUAACGUGUAAAUGAUUGGUUACUGUACUAAUUACUGUGGGUAUCUCCCUUGCAUGGGAGAAAUGCUUAAAAGCUGAGUAUGUGGAAUAAAUCUUCAAUUCUGCUCCUGA
rnacentral:lncRNA from 1 species